rnacentral:rRNA from 1 species
UACAGAGGGGGCAAGCGUUGUUCGGAAUUACUGGGCGUAAAGGGCGCGUAGGCGGCCCGCUAAGUCGAACGUGAAAUCCCCGGGCUUAACCCGGGAACUGCGUCCGAUACUGGCAGGCUUGAAUCCGGGAGAGGGAUGCAGAAUUCCAGGUGUAGCGGUGAAAUGCGUAGAUAUCUGGAGGAAUACCGGUGGCGAAGGCGGCAUCCUGGACCGGCAUUGACGCUGAUGAGCGAAAGCUAGGGGAGCAAACGGGG